UUAAAAACUUUCUCUCCCUAUUUUUUCUUUGGAUCUCUUACUUUCUCAUCGACGUCUUCUCUCUUAAGACUAUUCGUUCAUCCUAAACCUUCCCUCUGCCAUUCUUCUGCAACAAACCAUGGAUGUUCAUCAUCAAAUAGCAGACUUCAAUACGGAUGUCACAAGGCUUUUUCCGCCUGCUAACCAAGGUUUUCGAGUAUUUUACUUUUCUUCUUCGCUGAAAAACGACUGCCGUAGUUUCCACCAUGACGGUUUUCGCUUUCUAACGAUUUUCACUGACAAGGUUCGGUACAAAACCCUAACCCUAUUGUCCAUUUCUCUAAUUUCUUUUUCUUUGGUUUGCUCUACAUUCAUGAUAUUUGAUUUUCAAGGAUGAAUUUUUACAGUUUAUGUCCAAAUUAUGAUUUUUAGUGUUUAGGUUUUGAAGAAGUAAGGCACAUCAGCUAUGAUUUUUAAUUACAUGUUCUUAGUUUUACUGAACACGCUCUGUUUUUUAUUUUGUGAGUUAAGGUUUACUUAUUUUUUGAAUUCUUAAGUACGGGUUUGUUUAAUUUUGAGUCAUCUCAUCUCGGCUCAAACAACGGAGAUUAAUGUUGAUUGACAUAAGAAAAAAUCUUAUGGAGACCAAGCUAAUAGGAAGCAAGUUAUUAUGUCUUUUUUUCAUUACCUAAGCCGAAGUGUAUCCAACAUUGGGUUGCAAGAUGAUAUGAGGAAGUUUGUUAUCUGUUUUCAGCUUUAAUGUCCUUCUUCCACAAAGGACAUCCAUUGACGUUGGUAGUUUUGGACCUUUUAGUAGUCCUAUAUAAAAUUUGCUAUAUAGCUACAUUGUUGUGUCUUUUUUUUUUAUAUAUAGAUUACUCGCUUAAAUUUACGGAUUUCUAUUCUUAUAUAUAUGUACCACCUACUAUGUGCAAGAAGCACAGUUCUUCUCAAGGAGCGUGUAUCCAUGGUUUCCAAGGUAUUGUGUUGCUCAUGGUUUUUAUUGGCUAAUCUCUAUUGGCUUAUAUUAUGCUCAUUUGUCGAAGUGUUCUGUUGGCUACCGUGGUGGGCAUUUUUGUUUCUCAUUGUUUUCCCCGGUUAGGAAUAGGGAUGUAUAGGGAUGUCAGAUGUGAAUUGCGAUGGUCGAGGAGGAAAGUUGGAUUAUAAGAUGACACCGAAUAACAAGUUGCCUUCAGAAACUUGGUGAAGCAAUAGAUAUGAACACAAUAUGGACACGUUAAAGAUAAAGAUAACCUGGAGGUGAUGUUUGGUUCUAGCUUAAACUAUGCAUGAUGUUGGAAGAUGUCACCUAUUUUUUGACAUCCACUGAACACCGAAUAACAAGUUGCCUUCAGAAGCUGGGUGAAGCAAUAGAUAUGAACACAAUAUGGACACGUUAAAGAUAAAGAUAACCUGGAGGUUAUCAUGCAUAAGGUUAGAUUCCAGGAGGCUGCAUCCAUGACAGAGAAUAUUAUAGGCAUGGUCAUAAAUAUCCAAUUGCAAAGGUAACAAAUGUGGAACCAACCUCCACGUACCCAAAAUAUGAUUAUUAAAUAGAUAGACGGAGAACUUUAAACGAACAUUGGUAACUCAUUUAGUAUAACAGAAGCGGCGAAUCAUGAUGGAGGAUUUGGUGUUUAUCAUCCCAAAAUGGGAGAGAUGGGGAGGUUUUAUUCUAUACAUUUUGUAGCUGGAUUUUCCAAUGUCAGUUUAUCUUGCAGUAAGAGGAAAAAAAGACGGAGAACUUUAAACGAACAUUGGUAACUCAUUUAGUAUAACAGAAGAGGCGAAUCAUGAUGGAGGAUUUGGUGUUUAUCAUCCCCAAAUGGGAGAGAUGGGGAGGUUUUAUUCUAUACAUUUUGUAGCUGGAUUUUCCAAUGUCAGUUUAUCUUGCAGUAAGAGGAAAAAAAGACGUAGUAGUAACCCGAGUUACAAUCACAACAACGGAGGGAGAUUUCUUUCAAAACUGUGAUCGUACUUAUUGAUUAAGGUAUAAGCAGGAGUUUCCACGUUCAAGCUAAAGAAGACACUAAACUAUCCACCAGUUGUUUCUACUAAAGCUUUUUUCAAUGGUUAUUUUCAUAUUCAUGGUAGUUAAUGUUAUAUACUACGAACAGUAGCAUCAUGUUCUUGAAAAGAGGCGGUGAUGGACACGUCGUCUAUUUAGAAAACUAAUGUCUUCGUAGACAGGAUAGUGGUGCAUUACUUCAAAAACCGAACGACUUCGACAGGAUGGUGCUGCUGCACAGGCAGAAGAAGAACGAUAACGGGUGCAAGUAAAAUUUGAAGAGGGAAGAAAGCUUCUUCAAAGCAACACUCUCAAGUCGGCUUUCGUGUAUGGCCAUUCUGAAAUGGAAUCUCCUAAGAUAAACGUUUGUAAGACAAGUGAUGAUGGUUAUAUAUGCAUCUCAGCAUACUGUUCUACUAAUUGUAAUGCGGAAAGGUUUAUAUUCUACCAUCGUGCUCCGUCCUAGGCUACUAUGGAUUCUUAUAUUGUGAUUUAUGUUCUUAGUUUGGGUUCUUAUAUAUAC